GUGAGUGGCUAGCGUUAUCCGGGAAUUAUUGGGGCGUAAAGCGUCAGCAGGAGGUAUGUUAAGUGAGAUGUAAAAUAUCACGGGCUCAACCGUGGGACGGCAUCUCAUACUGGCAAACUUGAGGAAUGUAGAGGCACAUGGAAUUCCAGGAGUAGGGGUAAUAUCCGUAGAUACCUGGAGGAACACCAAUAGCGAAGGCAGUGUGCUGGGCAUUUCCUGACUCUCAGUGACGAAAGCGUGGGUAGCGAACCGGAUUAGAUACCCGGGUAGUCCACGCCGUAAACGAUGGAUACUCGGUGCAGGAGGAAUCGAUCCUUUCUGUGCCCAAGCUAACGCGUUAAGUAUCCCGCCUGGGGAGUACGAUCGCAAGAUUA
rnacentral:rRNA from 1 species